rnacentral:rRNA from 1 species
AGAGUUUGAUCCUGGCUCAGGACGAACGCUGGCGGCGUGCCUAAUACAUGCAAGUCGAACGCAUUUUCUUUCACCGUAGCUUGCUACACCGAAAGAAAGUGAGUGGCGAACGGGUGAGUAACACGUGGGUAACCUGCCCAUCAGCGGGGGAUAACACUUGGAAACAGGUGCUAAUACCGCAUAAUUCCGUUUACCGCAUGGUAGAUGGAUGAAAGGCGCUUUUGCGUCACUGAUGGAUGGACCCGCGGUGCAUUAGCUAGUUGGUGGGGUAACGGCCUACCAAGGCUGCGAUGCAUAGCCGACCUGAGAGGGUGAUCGGCCACACUGGGACUGAGACACGGCCCAGACUCCUACGGGAGGCAGCAGUAGGGAAUCUUCGGCAAUGGACGCAAGUCUGACCGAGCAACGCCGCGUGAGUGAAGAAGGUUUUCGGAUCGUAAAACUCUGUUGUUAGAGAAGAACAAGGAUGAGUGUGGAAAGUUCAUCCCUUGACGGUAUCUAACCAGAAA